GUGGGGAAUCUUGCGCAAUGGGCGAAAGCCUGACGCAGCCAUGCCGCGUGAAUGAUGAAGGUCUUAGGAUUGUAAAAUUCUUUCACCGGGGACGAUAAUGACGGUACCCGGAGAAGAAGCUCCGGCUAACUUCGUGCCAGCAGCCGCGGUAAUACGAAGGGGGCUAGCGUUGCUCGGAAUUACUGGGCGUAAAGGGCGCGUAGGCGGACAGCUUAGUCAGAGGUGAAAGCCCAGGGCUCAACCUUGGAAUUGCCUUUGAUACUGGCUGUCUUGAGUUUGGGAGAGGUGAGUGGAACUCCGAGUGUAGAGGUGAAAUUCGUAGAUAUUCGGAAGAACACCAGUGGCGAAGGCGACUCACUGGCCCAAUACUGACGCUGAGGCGCGAAAGCGUGGGGCAAACAGGAUUAGAAACCCUAGUAGUCC
rnacentral:rRNA from 1 species